rnacentral:pre_miRNA from 1 species
AUAAAUUUGGAAACUACCAUUGGAUCGAAAAAUAGACGUCCGAGCUUCAUCCACAUCACCAUGAGUAAAAAUUUAUUCAUGAUUAAAUUUGCGAGUAAAAUUUUUACUCAUGGUGAUGUGGAUGAAUCUCAGACGUCCAUUUUUCAAUCCAACGGUAGUUUUCAGGUAU